UAUAUAAAUUGUAUACUCCCUUUGAAUGCCUACUACAUAUUUGAUGAAAUGCCACUUUGAAUAUCUCCAGCUUUAUUGGCUAGUCUAUUCUUUAUAAAUUCAAUAGAUUGUCUGACUCUUUGCUGGUAAUUGAUUCUUCUAACUUUCUUGUUAGUUUAAAGAAUUUCAUCUCUGGAUGCUUGAAUUUUGAACUCUGUUGUAGAACCAAUGCAAUUAAAGAGAGUGUAGUAUGAUGUUAAAUUACGAUCAUGAUUUGUUUGAAGGGAUGUAGUUUUCUAGUAAAAGGUGUUAUGGAUUCAUUAGUGCUAACUCCUAUAGUAGGUUACUGGGCCACAAAGUCUAGGCUUGACCAUCUCUUGUGCCAGUUGUUAACUAUACAGAUUCCUAACCACUGCAGGCUGAACUACUUCGCUCAAGUAAAGCCAGACAUUGUACAGCGCGUGUAUGGCAUCAUCAAUGUAACAUCCAUUACGAUUAUUAGUUAGAAAGGGCGGCAUAGUUUCGCAAGUCAAGGGCAAGGUGACUUGUGGCUGACUCGAGUAUUUGAUUGAGUAUGGAUGAUUAGUUCUUUUCCUUGUGAGUAAUUAUGGCUGAUUGAUGUUGGUUGGAGUUGAAUGCGCCACAAAGAUAGAAGCAUAUAUGAAAUCAGAUUGGUAUUCUCUUAUCUCAAUUCCUUACUUUCCUGUUAUUCUUUCUCAAUUGUGAAUCUUCUGUUCUUCCUCCCUCUUUUUGCAGAUACCUGAAAAUUUUUGAGUGGUGCAGGAAGAUAAUUAGAAGCGCAUAAAGAGAAUAACAUCGUAUUUUUAUAUUUAUAUUUUUAAAUGAUAAUUUUUUUUCUCAUCUUAAUAAUUCGUCAUUUACUUAUUUUGAUGUAAAGUCAUGUCGUUCGACAAUGAGAUUUUUGAGAGGUACUAAUUAUGUAAUGACUUAAAUUAUUUGUAGAUACAUUUUUUUUGGAGUUAAUAAUACCAAUAUUGAUUUUCAUGAAA